AACGAACGCUGGCGGCAUGCCUAACACAUGCAAGUCGAACGAGACCUUCGGGUCUCGUGGCGCAAGGGUGCGUAACGCGUGGGAACCUGCCCUUAGGUUCGGAAUAACUCCCCGAAAGGGGUGCUAAUACCGGAUAAUGUCUUCGGACCAAAGAUUUAUCGCCUUUGGAUGGGCCCGCGUUGGAUUAGCUAGUUGGUAGGGUAAAAGCCUACCAAGGCGACGAUCCAUAGCUGGUCUGAGAGGAUGAUCAGCCACACUGGGACUGAGACACGGCCCAGACUCCUACGGGAGGCAGCAGUGGGGAAUAUUGGACAAUGGGCGAAAGCCUGAUCCAGCAAUGCCGCGUGAGUGAUGAAGGCCUUAGGGUUGUAAAGCUCUUUUACCCGGGAUGAUAAUGACAGUACCGGGAGAAUAAGCUCCGGCUAACUCCGUG
rnacentral:rRNA from 1 species